GACGAACGCUGGCGGCGUGCUUAGCACAUGCAAGUCGAACGGAAAGGCCCCCUUGUGGGGUACUCGAGUGGCGAACGGGUGAGUAACACGUGAGUAACCUACCCUUGACUUUGGGAUAACUUCAGGAAACUGGGGCUAAUACCGGAUAGGAGCUCCUGCUGCAUGGUGGGGGUUGGAAAGUUUCGGCGGUUGGGGAUGGACUCGCGGCUUAUCAGCUUGUUGGUGGGGUAGUGGCUCGCCAAGGCUUUGACGGGUAGCCGGCCUGAGAGGGUGACCGGCCACAUUGGGACUGAGAUACGGCCCAGACUCCUACGGGAGGCAGCAGUGGGGAAUAUUGCACAAUGGGCGGAAGCCUGAUGCAGCAACGCCGCGUGCGGGAUGACGGCCUUCGGGUUGUAAACCGCUUUCGCCUGUGACGAAGCGUGAGUGACGGUAAUGGGUAAAGAAGCACCGGCUAACUACGUG
rnacentral:rRNA from 1 species